rnacentral:rRNA from 1 species
UGAGUGAAGAAGGUUUUCGGAUCGUAAAGCUCUGUUGUAAGUCAAGAACGUGUGUGAGAGUGGAAAGUUCACACAGUGACGGUAGCUUACCAGAAAGGGACGGCUAACUACGUGCCAGCAGCCGCGGUAAUACGUAGGUCCCGAGCGUUGUCCGGAUUUAUUGGGCGUAAAGGGAGCGCAGGCGGUCAGGAAAGUCUGGAGUAAAAGGCUAUGGCUCAACCAUAGUGUGCUCUGGAAACUGUCUGACUUGAGUGCAGAAGGGGAGAGUGGAAUUCCAUGUGUAGCGGUGAAAUGCGUAGAUAUAUGGAGGAACACCAGUGGCGAAAGCGGCUCUCUGGUCUGUCACUGACGCUGAGGCUCGAAAGCGUGGGUAGCGAACAGGAUUAGAUACCCUGGUAGUCCACGCCGUAAACGAUGAGUGCUAGGUGUUAGGCCCUUUCCGGGGCUUAGUGCCGGAGCUAACGCAAUAAGCACUCCGCCUGGGGAGUACGACCGCAAGGUUGAAACUCAAAGGAAUUGACGGGGGCCCGCACAAGCGGUGGAGCAUGUGGUUUAAUUCGAAGCAACGCGAAGAACCUUACCAGGUCUUGACAUCCCGAUGCUAUUCUUAGAGAUAGGAAGUUACUUCGGUACGUCGGAGACAGGUGGUGCAUGGUUGUCGUCAGCUCGUGUC